GAUGAAGAACGCAGCGAAAUGCGAUAAGUAAUGUGAAUUGCAGAAUUCAGUGAAUCAUCGAAUCUUUGAACGCACAUUGCGCCCCCUGGUAUUCCGGGGGGCAUGCCUGUCCGAGCGUCAUUACAACCCUCAAGCUCAGCUUGGUAUUGGGCCCCGCCGCUCCGGCGGGCCCUAAAGUCAGUGGCGGUGCCGUCCGGCUCCGAGCGUAGUAAUUCUUCUCGCUCUGGAGGUCCGGUCGUGUGCUCGCCAGCAACCCCCAAUUUUUUUCAGGUUGACCUCGGAUCAGGUAGGGAUACCCGCUGAACUUAAGCAUAUCAAUAAGCGGAGG
rnacentral:misc_RNA from 1 species